rnacentral:rRNA from 1 species
AAGGUUUCCGUAGGUGAACCUGCGGAAGGAUCAUUAUUGAAUGAAUGUUGGAGUUGGUUGUUGCUGGCCCUCUCUGGGCAUGUGCACACCUUCUCUUUCAUCUACACACACCUGUGCACUUGUGAGAUGGGAACCCUCUGGGUGUCCAUCUGCUCUACAUAAACCCAUACAUAUAUAUAAUAAAUUGAGUGCAAUUGAUGUAACACAUCUCUGAACUAAGUUUCAACAACGGAUCUCUUGGCUCUCGCAUCGAUGAAGAACGCAGCGAAAUGCGAUAAGUAAUGUGAAUUGCAGAAUUCAGUGAAUCAUCGAAUCUUUGAACGCACCUUGCGCUCCUUGGUAUUCCUUGGAGCAUGCCUGUUUGAGUAUCAUGAAAUCCUCAAAGUAAAUCUUUCGUUUGUUCGCUUGGUUUCAUUUUGGACUUGGAGGUCUUGCAGAUCGAUGUCUGCUCCUCUGAAAUGCAUUAGCUAGAUCUCUGUAAGCCUUGGUUCUACUCGGCGUGAUAAGUAUCACUCGCUGAGGACACUGUAAAUAAAUAAAUAAAAAAGUGGCCAGGAUUGCAGAAGAACUGCUUCUAAUUGUUUAUCAGCUUAGAAUCUGAUCUCAAAUCAGGUAGGACUACCCGCUGAACUUAAGCAUAUCAU